GCCCUAAGAUCCAUAAAAAUUAAAUAUAUAGGGGCGGGGGGAAUGGAACAGAGACGUCAAGAGACAGCAGACAAUGCCAGCGUUUUACUAACUUAAUUCUACACCUCGCAUUAUUCAGGCCCCAACUCAACCCGACAUAAUUAUAUGAUUAAUAAGCUCCAUUGUGAGCGAGUCGCGAGUUGGAUGAGCGUGAAAAUGAAAGUGCUGUCGAUGGAUGGUUGGAAAACUAUGUGUGCAGAGGGGGGAUGGCUAAGUAGAGAUGGCAGUGCAAUUUUCCGUUGCACUUUUCGAUUUCGCACCGGUCCGCGGGCUCCGUUAUUAUAUAUAGUAUAUUAGUGUAGUGCGAUAUAGCCACCUCCAACGUACCCAUUGUUUGCUUUUAAUCUUCGACGUGCGAGCGCAGACAGGUGCACUUAUGAAAGCGCAACCACUCAUCGCCCAUCUAACGGAUCGAAUGGCCUUCAUGUAGACGCAUGGAGGCUGACUUAUUGCCAGCACUGUGCUGCCAAGAUCAAUUCAAAUCGAACGGUUUUGAAAAUUAAUUGCCCACAUAUUGUGAACUUCAUUUAAACGCAAUUUAUUUAAUUUCAGCUAUUUUCCCACUACUGACACUAUUCUCUGCUGCAUAGUGUACAUUUGUUAAAUUUUCGUGUACGGAAAGUGCUGAAAGUUGGUGUCAGACGCGCUUUCGUUGGGCAUUAAUAACAGCAGUCAAUAAUAAAUAUACUCAAAGUGUCCCGAAGCUGGCACGCUCGCUUUGAAUGUAAUUAGGGUCACAAGUGAUGGAGACGGAGAUGGAGCCCGAGAUGAGCCACCAACCAUUAGUGCUCAACCACACUCGGGCACACUCUUGUGGACUGACUUUGGGCCAAAAAGCGACGUCAAAUGGAUGCUGACAAAUGCCAGAGCACAGUAGGCAGGAGAACAGAAAACCUUUAUUGAUACUUUUGCCAUGUAAAACAGAACACUUGAACAAAUUCUGGGAAAUAUUUUGUCUCUCGUAAUUAAAACUGUUUAUGAAUGAGGAACUUUGAUAAACAUAUUGUGUUUAUUCCAUCGAGAAAUUUGAAAAACUUAGCGUGGACCGUUAAUUGGGUUAGAAGCAUCGCAUUGCAUUGACACCGAUCGAAUUGAGCCAUCGAGAAUCUAUGCCAGCCAACACUGCGUAUACGUAUGCCGAUGCAAACGAGAGUACCGAUAUCGAUGACGUUCUGUCGGGUCGUUCUGUCCUCCUGAUUUUAUGCCGCUACUCACGAUUACCGUAGAUGAUGAGCUGCUGACGAUGGAUGUGGUGGCCAAUGUGGGUCACAUGGGUUGAUGCUCAGCCACGGAAAAGUGUUUCUAUGCUGCUGUUGACUAAUUUCAUCUGGCGAUUUAGCAUUCGAGGUAUGAGCCUGUAUACCUGUGCACCGAUCUACAGAAUCAUUUCGAUAUACAAAUUCAAUCUCUGCCACAAGUCUCGUGCACCGAGUAAUUACGACCAGAAGGCGUUUUGAAGAUGAUCAGACGUCUGUCAAGCGAUGGGUUCCAAUUAUAUUUCCAAAAUAUAAGAUUAUAGUUCU